UGCCUCUCAGGGUCGCGCCUGGAGAGUUUCCAGAACGCUACCAGUCUUGACUACAGGAGGGAGAGUCAAGCAGAGGCCUACCCAUUCCAUUCCUAGCUUGGGCAGUGGCUAGCAAGUGGCAGACAAUCUACUACAAGU